rnacentral:rRNA from 1 species
UACGUAGGGUGCGAGCGUUGUCCGGAAUUACUGGGCGUAAAGAGCUCGUAGGCGGUUUGUCGCGUCUGCCGUGAAAGUCCGGGGCUCAACUCCGGAUCUGCGGUGGGUACGGGCAGACUAGAGUGAUGUAGGGGAGACUGGAAUUCCUGGUGUAGCGGUGAAAUGCGCAGAUAUCAGGAGGAACACCGAUGGCGAAGGCAGGUCACUGGGCCGCAACUGACGCUGAGGAGCGAAAGCAUGGGGAGCGAACAGG